AUCAACGUCUCAGAGCCUCCAUACAUUUCAGUACGCGCACGCUCUGCGAGUGCAGUAGGCUUCAGUGUAAUUUGAUGCUUACAUGCGUAAAUAAAGGUUUUUGGUAAGUCAUAUAAAUCAAAAUGUCGUUUUUUCUUGUCAGAAAAGCACACGGAUACAUUUGUGAGAAACUCGUCGAGUGCAGUCACCUUGAGACGUUUAACGGUUGUAACAAACAUGGUGGAUUUCCUUAACCAAGCAGAGUCCACAAAACCAGACCUCUCAGGCAUUGAUCAUAAUCAAUGGACCGGUCACCGUAGCCACCUGGAUCCAAUCUGUAUCCAGAUCAGAUG